GGGCCCGUAGCUCAGGCAGGUAGAGCGUCAGGCUCUUAACUUGAUGGACUGAAGUAGUCUUCUACUUCAGGUUGAAUCAAGGGUUCGAUUCCCUUCGGGCCCGCCA
rnacentral:tRNA from 1 species